UACGAAGGGGGCUAGCGUUGCUCGGAAUCACUGGGCGUAAAGGGUGCGUAGGCGGGUCUUUAAGUCAGGGGUGAAAUCCUGGAGCUCAACUCCAGAACUGCCUUUGAUACUGAAGAUCUUGAGUUCGGGAGAGGUGAGUGGAACUGCGAGUGUAGAGGUGAAAUUCGUAGAUAUUCGCAAGAACACCAGUGGCGAAGGCGGCUCACUGGCCCGGAACUGACGCUGAGAUGCGAAAGCGUGGGGAGCAAACAGG
rnacentral:rRNA from 1 species